ensembl:ncRNA F56E3.7 ncRNA
GAAGAGGAUUCUCGAUUGCCGUAAAUGGAUUACACCAGUGUACAUAUCACAAAGAAGAAGCCGGCAAUAACACCGACCCUUCGGAUAAUUCGAUCUACUAACAGGGCAGAUGUGGCCCCCGCUCACUGGAAGAGAGCGAUAGCUCAUCAUACCUAG